rnacentral:rRNA from 1 species
GAGUUUGAUCGUGGCUCAGAGCGAACGCUGGCGGCAGGCCUAAUACAUGCAAGUCGAACGGCUCUUCGGAGCAGUGGCGGACGGGUGAGUAACGCGUGGGAACGUGCCCUUUGGUUCGGAACAACACAGGGAAACUUGUGCUAAUACCGAAUGUGCCCUUCGGGGGAAAGAUUUAUCGCCAUUGGAGCGGCCCGCGUUGGAUUAGCUAGUUGGUGGGGUAAAGGCCCACCAAGGCGACGAUCCAUAGCUGAUCUGAGAGGAUGAUCAGCCACACUGGGACUGAGACACGGCCCAGACUCCUACGGGAGGCAGCAGUAGGGAAUCUUGCGCAAUGGGCGAAAGCCUGACGCAGCCAUGCCGCGUGAAUGAUGAAGGUCUUAGGAUUGUAAAAUUCUUUCACCGGGGAAGAUAAUGACGGUACCCGGAGAAGAAGCCCCGGCUAACUUCGUGCCAGCCGCCGCAGUAAU